rnacentral:misc_RNA from 1 species
GACCCCAGCGUUUUGGAGAUGGCA